AAACAAAACACAGAUAAUACAGAUGUUAACCCCUGAUCCUUCCAGAUGUUUGAUAGUUUUAACAACUGCCAAGUCAAAUUUCUUGAAGACAUCCAACCCUUUUCUGAUCUCUCCAAAAACAAAACUCAAUUUUUCAUUUAGAAAACCUCACAAACCUGCAAUGACUUCAGAUCACACAAAACCAGUCAGAAUAAUAACACUGCAGGACGUGUAACUCAAGUCUUUGCUACUCAUGUAUCUAGACUGUAGUGUUACAAAAACAAAGAAAGAAAUCAGAUGGACCAAUCCCCCCAAAACUCCUGUGCAACGUUAACAUAAAAGAGCUAUUUUAUGGAAAAUCAGUGACGUCUCCCAGCUGACAGCAGGUUUAACAUGCUUAUAUUAGAAAAUCAUUUUGACUCAGGAGGACUCGCAGGUAGAAGACGAGGCUGGUAUCAAAACGCAGGUCAUCAAAGAUUUUUUCAUAUAAUCCGACUCAUACUGAGCAGCAUCCAUCCCACAUGGUGUCGAGAGCCCUAAACGUUUUACCCAGUGAAUUCCACAGAUGUCCACAGAGCAGACAUCCAGGGUCUCAAUGCCAGUUUGUUCCUCUACAACACAAAAUAUUUUGGCUGUGACUCGUAAGAAUAACUUUAUUGAUCCCAAAGGGAAAUUCAUAGUUUUUACCCGUGUCUUGGAGUGGUUGAAGUUUUAAAAAACUGAGCUUAAAUGAGCCAGCUGUUAAAAUUUCAUGUAGAUUAUCUCCUGAAGUUGUUGUAAAUGCCGAGGUGCUCUGGUUGGAGUCCAGUUUCACAUUUUUCUUAUCAAACAUCAUUUUAAGGUUAAGCUGAACACAUGAAAACAUGGAAUGAGUCACUUGUAUGAGUGACACUCAGGCAGUCUGAAUCUAAUGCUCUACAGUUCCUCCUUUUCAUUUCACUUCUAUGUAGAAAAACUAUUUCGGUCUGAAAUCGAUCUUUCCUUCUCGUCUUCGUCCGCCGCCUCUCAGACUGCUUCCAUCCAUCGUUGGUACCAACCUUCAGCUCACUCUGGCUGGCUGUGCCCUCUGAAUGGCUGAUAUCAGAGCUGUCUUGUUUAAGAGCUCAAGUCUGUGCUGCACUGGUGUUUGAGCUCUGCCUCCUGUUGUCCACAUUACACCUGAAUCACAGUGUGAAUGCAUUUUGAAUUUUGCAGGAAAACUGUUAAAUUGUGUCCAAAUGGGUGAAAACUGAUUGUGGUUUUUGUGAAACAACUGAUUCAAUCAAUUUUGCUACUAAUAUCAAAAGUCAAUGAUGAGUGACAGAUCGAGUCCUGAUGCCUCCCGCUGCCUCUUUGACCGCUGUAUUAUGGAGGCACUACCCAGGAUUACUCGGCUUAUACGCCAACUUCCCCACACAAACAACUGCCCAAAACUUUGCCUUAUACUGAAGCAGAAGUGCAAUCGCAAAAGUCAAUAUGGUCUAAAAGCUGCUCUGACUUCUGUCUGAUCCUGCCAUAUGAAGAGCGAGCUUAGAGGCCGGGGAAAUAAGACGAGCAGCUUUUCAAGAUUCACAGAAUUACUUUUAAAGUUUAGAGAUUUAAGCUGUGAGCGUCCCUUUAGACUUGAAAAAGGAAGCUUUGUUCUCUUAUUUAAACUCUGCAUUUUUGGAAAUUCUUACAUGUAUUUUGGCAUUUGGAGGAAAAAUUUCUGCCUUCAGUGUGUAAAUUUAUGUCCAAGAGAUUUGCAUAAUGGCAACUUAGAAAUUAUCCUAAUUAGCGAGUGGAUAGUCUCCAAUUGUAUUGAAGAUAAACGGUGCCAUAUACAAUGAGCCAAUUCAUUGUUCCCUAUUAGAGGAACGCUGGGAAAAAGAGAAGAAGAGAACGACCCCCUGCUGCGAACAUGAAAAUGGAAACCAAGCGUCCAAACUGGCAGGACGUGACGGCGGAUCAGCCAAAAGCUUUGCUGCCGAUAAAUCAAACAAGGCAGCACUCAAAGAUAAGAAGUCCGAGCUGCUCUGCAUCUGCUCGGCCCACCCGGAUUAGAACUUGUAAUCAUGCUCACCUCCCGGAACGAGGCGAUCCCGCCAAACAAUAGAAACAUCUUUAAUCAUGAGAGAAGAUGUCAGAGCCACGCGGAUUUGUUUUGUCAGUGUUCCUCCAGUGGGGUGGGGGGAGAUUCUGAAGGAUUACAGGCUGCGUCUGAUCUCUUAAAGAUACAAAUAAGUGGCGAAAACAUGCGUGUGAUUGUUCUCUUGUGUGACGGGAGAUAAAAAUCUGUUAGAAAUGAACGAGAGCAGCAGGGGCUUACAGAAGUCCGUUCCCUCGCCGAACAACCACCGCCGAGCACAGAUUGAUUUGACGAGGCCGCUGAGAGGUGAACCGAGCGACGGCGAGCCAAACGGGAACGCCCACAUUACAUUUUAUCCUGCAGGGUUCAGGUUAACGAUUUUGGAGAGGGACGCGUCUGUAAAACUGUAGCUGCUGGAUGGUCUGGAACGCCUCCUCUAUCCAGUACACCGUGUUGAUUCCUAAAUGCAUUUAGAUGAGGGAGGAGAGGAGGCUGUAGGAGGAGGAACAGGUGCAUCCUUUGCAGAAGUGUUUGUACAGGUGUGCCUCACAGCUGGAAUAUACAAAACUUCUCCUUUUGAUGUUGUUUCAGUCAUUCAAGAUGAAAACUUGUUUGUGCAACUCAUCACUUUGCAUCACGCCGAAUUAAAAUUGACCCUAAACAGAAAACACGAUGAGCACCUGUUACACCUGAAAUAAUAAAAUUAAGGAAAAAAAACAUUUUAUGAAUCAGUUGUGCAACGUGUCGUAUUUAAUUGACAUGGCUUCAGGCCUGUGAGAUCUAAAUCAUCAUCGCUGUCAGAACCCUUUCUGGGUUCUUCCAAACCACAGAAUCAGGGCUGGGACGGAGGAACUUCAGUGAGUUAUAAUAAUAGCUAAUACACCUGUGGUCUCAACUCCUUCCUCGCAUCUCUGGUAGGAGGGGCUACGACAUAAUGAGAAAGGGGGCUUGAUUGACAAAUGAGAGAGUGCAUGUGCACUGCUGGAUCAUCCAUCGUGAACUGCAGCAUAUUCAAAGCCUCUUUGGUAUUUCUUUGCAGUAUAAGAGUUUUACUCACAUACAGCAUCCUGAUAGGCGGAUAUACAAAUAUGGUCAAAAUUCCACCACAGAAGGAAAUGACGAGAACAUGAAACACAAAGUUCGUCCAGAACUAAACCUGCAAACGAGGAUUAACCACGCUGAACUCAUCAUGUUCAGAGCUUUAAUCUCCAUCAGGUUUCCAGCAGACUAGGCAUAGGGGCAAAAUCAGAUUCACAUCUACCCCUUUAUAUGGAAGAUUCACCGAUUUAACAGAAGAACUGGAGCCAAAAUGCAUCUGUUGCACAGCAUCUCAAACAUGCUCAGCUUUCAGUUCGAGCUGGACGGGGCGACACUUAAGACAGCCAUCCUAACAUCAGGAACAUCUUGCUCGUGGUGUAGUGGUGGAAAGACUAAGAUUCUCUUUAAGGAUAAAAAAGGAACCAAAGAGAGGUACCAGGAGCUGCUGGAGUCAACUAAAGCUGAAGAGUUGUGACAUUUUUCCAACACUUCUAAUGAAAAUUAAAGUUUAAAAAAAAAGUCCAAUAGUUUAAGUCAUCUUAUUGGAGGCUUCCUAACACAUCUGCAUGAUUUAAGGCUAACAAAAAAUAAAACAAAAAUAUAGUAACAAAGGGGGGAAACAACGCCCCGAGACAGAGAGGAAAGAGCACAGAAAAGUUGCAAAUGUAAACAAUAUAAAACAUCAUCAUCCUACAGAUCCUGGGACAGUACUUCCUGUUUCACUGCACUUUCAAAAUAAAAUAAAGUGCAUUAAUAACACUGGCUGUCCCUUUCACUUGUUUUUGGCUCUGAUGGUUCACCUGUCCGAGCUAGAGACCCAUCCACCAAUACACAUGAACAAGAUGUUUCUGAGAAUGGCUGUCUCACUAAAUGAAAAAUGAAAAUAAUAAAAUUAAAAAUAAUAAAAACAAAAAAAACAAACAAACAAAAAAAAAAACUUAAAUGAAGCAGUUUUUCCAAAAAAGGCCCCAGUAAAGGCAGGCAGUGAUAUGAGCGGAAAAUGAGGUGGAACAGAAGCAUCAAGCAGCUUUAACUCCAAACUUACCUUCAGCUAAACACAAAUUACCAGCGACUAUAUUCAUUACAAUGUGAUAUGGUUCAGGUGUGCACAGAUGAGUGCCAAGGAAAACGCUCACUUGCUGCCCUAAGGCGGAUAAACAGCAGCACAGUGAGGAUCAACAAACAUACAGCCCUUUAGGAUUGUAUGGAUUCAAAUAUGUAUAAAAAGAAAGAAUAAAACAAACAAAAAAAAGAAUAAAUCAAAAUUUCCUCCAUUUUUGACCAAAAAUAAGAAUUCAACAUUUAAACAAGAGAACGUGCCAUCAGCCAGCUGUAUUCAACAUAAAACAAUUAAAACAAUAACGAAAGUUAGAGUCAAGUCGAGCUGUGGCAGCUCCCUAUAAAAACCGUCAUCCUUUAUAUGAGUGGGAUCUACUUUAAUCACUUUUUUGGUCCGUUGUUGUGGCAAAGAAAGAAAAAAACCCACAUCCUUUCAUUAACCAUACAAGUUUUUGUAUCCACUAUAAUUUUCUAAGCAGGUAAAUUAACUGCAUGAAAACACUGAGUAAAUCUGUCACGGAUAAAGGAAGCGGAUAAAUUAGCACAGUUACUUAAAGGUUAAGAUUACCUAUAACAUGUCGUAAUCCGCCGUGACAAUUAGACCUCUUAAAGUUACUCAGAGAUCUUUAAGGGUUAUGACGGGCACCCUGUUAUCUGUGCUUGAUAGAUUUAAAGUUAGAUUUUAUGGAAUUUCCUGUAAAGUAAACCAGCACACUAGUCUUUUUAUAAAAUGUAGUUCCUUUGUAAAAAAAAAAAAAAAAAAAAAAAAAAUAAUACUGUCAGCUAUGUUGGUCAUCAAACAGGAUUAAAAUGAACUUCCCCACCGUCUGGCAGCAGGUAUGACCUGCCUGACGCAACAAGUACGAGUCGCCAACACCAGAAACACUCAAAUCACAAACUGGAUAUUUAUUAGGGUUUAACGCUCAGACGCAGAGCUGCAGUGGACCAGCAGGUGGAGCUGGAGCCCGAUAUCAAAUCACGGAAAAUAAAACCUGACCCGAUACGGUUUUUAAAGUCAGCAGCGGCCUUUAAAGAAACAAAACAAAAACCACUAAACUAACCGAUGGCACAAACACAUGAGCGAAGAGGCUGCUCCAAAAUUUGCUGCAAAUUUUUUCAUGCCAGCCUGAAGGAAUGAGUCCCAACAAAGUGGGUUUGACCUUUCUGCAUCAGCUCGGUACAAAAGUCCCUUUAAUUUUUUUUGGCUUCUUUUUUGGUUUUUCGUUUUAUCCAAUUUGAACUUGUAUAGAUUUUUAUAUUCCUUAAGUAAUAAGUGAAGACGAUAAAAUAUUUCCACACUUACAUUCAAGUGCUUAUAGGGUUAUAUUGCAUUGUUACCUUGUCUUAAUCUACUCUAAGCUGGAUUUGCAUUAAGCCUGCGUGUUUGAGAUGAAUUUACUGUAGAGAGAGAGCAAAGAAAAAACACUCACUCUCCUUUAGAAAAUAAAGUGUUUCAGGAUUAAUCAUUAAAUAUAUUCCAUUAAUUAUAAACAGCGUGUCUAAAUCACCUAUCAAAACAUUUAUCAAUUCACAUUUAAGGAGCAGGAAGAGUACAGAGGCACAGAAGCUUAUUGCUGCCACCGAUGUGAUAAAUGUAGAAAUACUGCGCUCAGAUAUUCACAUUGCUUUAACAAGGCUGUGAUCUGUGUUAGGGGAGGAGGGGAGGAGGGGAGGGGGUGAACCACAAGCAGUCUGACCGGUUAAUGAAGCCAAAUCAGGUUAUGACGUCGGCCUCCACAGUAAAGUGCACACUCCACAUGUGAAGAACAUUUGAGGCUUCGGAAAAACUAUCGUGCAACGUGUGAGGAAUCUUUGCAGGGGCGACAGUAUCGUCAUGUAAACAAACGGCGACGAGCCAUAACUUUGGAAGUUCAAGUUUGCUUUUUUCCCCCCUCCUCAAAGUGGAGUUUGUUAGUACCAGGGCUGAGUGAUGGUUCAACAGACAUCGUAAUAAUACAGGAGCUGAAAGAUGGGUGUGAGAUCAUCUCAGCUA